UCGGGCAUGGUGUACGGUACACGGCCUCUCCUGCUAAGGAUAUUUAGACGCUCGACGAGGCAGCCCGGGGUUCGACUCCCUGUGUCCGAA